GCGCCGUCUUCACCUCGGUACACAGCGCCGGCCUGGCAAGCAACAAAGACAGAGUGCAAUAACAGAGUGAUUCAGGAUAGUGCAAGCAAUAAUGAAACCACAUCAGUUGGGAUGGUGCAUGCGAGAAUGGUACAACAUAGGAAAGAGUAUUGACAAUUAUCUAUAAGGUGCAUGCGAUAAUGG